GUAUUGGUGGUUUGGUGGUAAAAUUCUUGCUUUCCAUGUGGGAGACCUGGGUUUGAUUUCUGGCCAAUGCA
rnacentral:tRNA from 1 species